CCUACGGGAGGCAGCAGUGGGGAAUAUUGGACAAUGGGCGCAAGCCUGACCCAGCAACGCCGCGUGAAGGAAGAAGGCUUUCGGGUUGUAAACUUCUUUUCUCAGGGACGAAGCAAGUGACGGUACCUGGAGAAAAAGCAUCGGCUAACUCCGUGCCAGCAGCCGCGGUAAUACGGAGGAUGCAAGCGUUAUCCGGAUUUAUUGGGUUUAAAGGGUGCGCAGGCGGCGUGUCAAGUCAGCGGGAAAAUGUUGGGGCUCAACCCCGGACGGCCGUUGAAACUGGCGUGCUUGAGUGGGAGAGAAGCAUGCGGAAUUCGUGGUGUAGCGGUGAAAUGCAUAGAUAUCACGAAGAACACCGAUUGCGAAGGCAGCAUACCGGAUCCAAACUGACGCUGAGGCACGAAAGCGUGGGUAUCGAACAGGAUUAGAUACCCGAGUAGUC
rnacentral:rRNA from 1 species